rnacentral:rRNA from 1 species
AUAUCAAUAAGCGGAGGAAAAGAAACCAACAGGGAUUGCCCCAGUAACGGCGAGUGAAGCGGCAACAGCUCAAAUUUGAAAUCUGGUCCCCAGGGCCCGAGUUGUAAUUUGCAGAGGAUGCUUUUGGUGAGGUGCCUUCCGAGUUCCCUGGAACGGGACGCCAUAGAGGGUGAGAGCCCCGUCUGGUUGGAUACCGAGCCUCUGUAAAGCUCCUUCGACGAGUCGAGUAGUUUGGGAAUGCUGCUCUAAAUGGGAGGUAUAUGUCUUCUAAAGCUAAAUAUUGGCCAGAGACCGAUAGCGCACAAGUAGAGUGAUCGAAAGAUGAAAAGCACUUUGAAAAGAGGGUUAAAUAGUACGUGAAAUUGUUGAAAGGGAAGCACUUAUGACCAGACUUGGCCCCGGUGAAUCAUCCAGCGGUUCCCGCUGGUGCACUUUGCCGGGGUUCAGGCCAGCAUCAGUUCGCUCCGGGGGAUAAAGGCUUUGGGAAUGUGGCUCCCUCGGGAGUGUUAUAGCCCAUUGCGCAAUACCCUGUGGCGGGCUGAGGUUCGCGCUUUAUGCAAGGAUGCUGGCAUAAUGGUCAUCAGUGACCCGUCUUGAAACACGGACCAAGGAGUCGUCUUCGUAUGCGAGUGUUCGGGUGUUAAACCCCUACGCGUAAUGAAAGUGAACGCAGGUGAGAGCCCUCCAGGGCGCAUCAUCGACCGAUCCUGAUGUUCUCGGAUGGAUUUGAGUAAGAGCAUACGGGGCCGGACCCGAAAGAAGGUGAACUAUGCCUGUAUAGGGUGAAGCCAGAGGAAACUCUGGUGGAGGCUCGCAGCGGUUCUGACGUGCAAAUCGAUCGUCAAAUAUGGGCAUGGGGGCGAAAGACUAAUCGAACCU